rnacentral:tRNA from 1 species
AAUUAAUGAUCUUGAUUAAGAAUAUAUUUUGAAAAUAUACUAAAGAAAUUUAAAUUUUCUAUUAAUUU